rnacentral:rRNA from 1 species
GACGAACGCUGACGGUGUGCUUUAGACAUGCAAGUCGAACGCGAAAGCCCUUCGGGUUAGUAGAGUGGCGAACGGGUGAGUAACACGUGGGCAAUCUGCCCCUCGCAGGGGGACGAACCGGAGGAAACCCGGCCUAAUACCCGUACGCUUGUGGGACCGCAUGGUUCCGCAAGGAAAGGUAGCUUCGGCCAUCCGGCGAGGGAUGAGCCCGCGGUGCAUUAGCUAGUUGGUGAGGUAACGGCCCACCAAGGCAACGAUGCAUAGCUGGUCUGAGAGGACGAUCAG